rnacentral:rRNA from 1 species
AGUGAACGCUGGCGGUAGGCCUAACACAUGCAAGUCGAACGGCAGCACAGUAAGAGCUUGCUCUUACGGGUGGCGAGUGGCGGACGGGUGAGGAAUACAUCGGAAUCUACUUUUUCGUGGGGGAUAACGUAGGGAAACUUACGCUAAUACCGCAUACGACCUACGGGUGAAAGCAGGGGAUCUUCGGACCUUGCGCGAUUGAAUGAGCCGAUGUCGGAUUAGCUAGUUGGCGGGGUAAAGGCCCACCAAGGCGACGAUCCGUAGCUGGUCUGAGAGGAUGAUCAGCCGCACUGGAACUGGGACACGGUCCAGACUCCUACGGGAGGCAGCAGUGGGGAAUAUUGGACAAUGGGCGCAAGCCUGAUCCAGCCAUACCGCGUGGGUGAAGAAGGCCUUCGGGUUGUAAAGCCCUUUUGUUGGGAAAGAAAAGCAGCAGGUUAAUACCCCGCUGUUCUGACGGUACCCAAAGAAUAAGCACCGGCUAACUUCGUG